rnacentral:rRNA from 1 species
AUUGAACGCUGGCGGCAGGCUUAACACAUGCAAGUCGAGCGGGGGAAGGUAGCUUGCUACCGGACCUAGCGGCGGACGGGUGAGUAAUGCUUAGGAAUCUGCCUAUUAGUGGGGGACAACAUCUCGAAAGGGAUGCUAAUACCGCAUACGUCCUACGGGAGAAAGCAGGGGAUCUUCGGACCUUGCGCUAAUAGAUGAGCCUAAGUCGGAUUAGCUAGUUGGUGGGGUAAAGGCCUACCAAGGCGACGAUCUGUAGCGGGUCUGAGAGGAUGAUCCGCCACACUGGGCCUGAGACACGGCCCAGACUCCUACGGGAGGCAGCAGUGGGGAAUAUUGGACAAUGGGGGGAACCCUGAUCCAGCCAUGCCGCGUGUGUGAAGAAGGCCUUAUGGUUGUAAAGCACUUUAAGCGAGGAGGAGGCUACUCUAGUUAAUACCUAGGGACAGUGGACGUUACUCGCAGAAUAAGCACCGGCUAACUCUGUGCCAGCAGCCGCCGUAA